AUUGAACGCUGGCGGAAUGCUUUACACAUGCAAGUCGAACGGUAGAGGGGGCAACCCCUUGAGAGUGGCGAACGGGUGAGUAAUAUAUCGGAACGUGCCCAGUCGUGGGGAUAACGUAGCGAAAGUUACGCUAAUACCGCAUACGAUCUAAGGAUGAAAGCGGGGGGAUCGCAAGACCUCGCGCGAUUGGAGCGGCCGAUAUCAGAUUAGGUAGUUGGUGAGGUAAAGGCUCACCAAGCCAACGAUCUGUAGCUGGUCUGAGAGGACGACCAGCCACACUGAAACUGAGACACGGUCCAGACUCCUACGGGAGGCAGCAGUGGGGAAUUUUGGACAAUGGACGCAAGUCUGAUCCAGCCAUUCCGCGUGCAGGAUGAAGGCCCUCGGGUUGUAAACUGCUUUUGUACGGACGAAACGGUGAGCUCUAAUACAGUUUGCUAAUGACGGUACCGUAAGAAUAAGCACCGGCUAACUACGUGCCAGCAGCCGCGGUAAU
rnacentral:rRNA from 1 species